rnacentral:rRNA from 1 species
UUUAUUAAAAACAUGGCUUAUUGAGUAUUUAAUUUUAGGUYUGACCUGCCCAAUGAUAAAAAUUUAAUGGCCGCAGUAAUUUGACUGUGCAAAGGUAGCAUAAUCAUUAGUUUUUUAAUUGAAAGCUUGUAUGAAAGGUUUGAUGAGAAAAUAGCUGUCUCUAUUAAAAUUUUUUAGAAAUUUAUUUUUAAGUAAAAAAGCUUAGAUUUUUAUUGAAGACGAGAAGACCCUAUAGAGUUUUAUAACUUAUUAGUAUAAAUUAAAGUUUAGAAUUGUAUAAUUUAUUAUAUUGGUUAUUUAAUUGGGGUGAUUAAAAAAUUUGAUAAACUUUUUUUAAAAAUAAUACAUUUAUUUAUGAAUCUUUGAUCCUUUUAAUAAGAUUAAAAGAUAAAAUUACCUUAGGGAUAACAGCGUAAUUUUUUUUUAGAGUUCAAAUCAAGAAAAAAGAUUGCGACCUCGAUGUUGGAUUAAAAAAAAUUAUUGGUGUAGAAGCUAAUAAAUUAGGUCUGUUCGACCUUUAAAAUUUUACAUGAUCUGAAUUUAAACCGG